rnacentral:rRNA from 1 species
UACGGGGGGAGCAAGCGUUGUUCGGAUUUACUGGGCGUAAAGGGUGCGUAGGCGGCGCAACAAGUCACUUGUGAAAUCUCCGGGCUUAACCCGGAGCGGCCAAGUGAUACUGUCGUGCUAGAGUGCGGAAGGGGCUACUGGAAUUCUCGGUGUAGCGGUGAAAUGCGUAGAUAUCGAGAGGAACACCUGCGGCGAAGGCGGGUAGCUGGGCCGACACUGACGCUGAGGCGCGAAAGCCAGGGGAGCGAACGGG